rnacentral:misc_RNA from 1 species
AGCAGCCGCGGUAAUUCCAGCUCCAAUAGCGUAUAUUAAAGUUGUUGCAGUUAAAAAGCUCGUAGUUGAAUUUCGGGGUUCCACCGUUGGUCGGGCUAUUGUCUGUACUGGCGUGUGGAAUUUCUACCUUCUGGGGAACUAUCAUGUUAUUAAUUUAGCGUGGUAGGAAACCAGGACCUUUACCUUGAAAAAUUAGAGUGUUCAAAGCAGGCUUAUGUCUGAAUACAUUAGCAUGGAAUAAUAAAAUAGGACGGUGGUCCUGUUUUGUUGGUUUCUGAAUCACCGUAAUGAUUAAUAGGGAUAGUUGGGGGCAUUAGUAUUCAAUUGUCAGAGGUGAAAUUCUUGGAUUUAUUGAGGACUAACUACUGCGAAAGCAUUUGCCAAGGAUGUUUUCAUUAAUCAAGAACGAAAGUUAGGGGAUCGAAGACGAUCAGAUACCGUCGUAGUCUUAACCAUAAACUAUGCCGACUAGGGAUCGGACGAUGUUAACUUUUCUUGACUCGUUCG